ensembl:lncRNA
CCAAGACAGGGCCUCACUGUGUAGCCCUGGAACUCACUCUGUAGACCAGGCUGGCUUCAAACUCAUAGAAAUCUGCCUGCUUCUUCCUCCCAAGUGCUAGGAUUAAGGGUGUGCAUCACCACCGGCCAACAGGAGUCCACUUCUUAAAACUUCUAUUUCUGGGGUUGGGGAUUUAGCUCAGUGGUAGAGCGCUUGCCUAGCAAGCACAAGGCCCUGGGUUCGGUCCCCAGCUCCGAAAAAAAGAAAAGAAAAAAACAAAAAACUUCUAUUUCUGUCAAGUUCUUGUUAGGGGUUGGCGCAGAAAGAUUGUCACAAAGAACAAAUUGGUAAAAAAAUGAAAAAUUGUACCAGGUCCACAGGAACCAGGAAAGAAAGGUAUGUGGGUUGGUUUCCUAGAGCUGGGAAAACACAGGGAGCAGUGAGACUUGACUUACACUGUGGGUAGGGGAGAAUAGUGAGAGAUGCUGUCCUCUAAGCUACAGGGGCAAAAGAACCAGAGAGCCUCUUGGAACUCUCUUGGACUUUAUUUUCAGCUUAGCAGCAAUAAGGAAGUUGUCAUUGACUGUGUAGCGUUGGACAAGUUACCUAAUCUCUGUCUGUCCUACUGCACUGUGGUUUGGUAAAAUGAGCAAAAGUAAUACCACCAACUUGGUAAGGUUUUGUGGAGAGGAAAUGAGUUAAUAGGUUUGAGGUGCUUGGUGUGCAGUGGCACGCGGUGAGUCCUCAAUUAAACACGGGCUGUUAUUACGGGCCAUCGUUAACGAGGAUCCAGGAUCCUCCCUGAGCAGUUUGCUCUUAGCUACAGGAGCAAGCAGUGCUCAGGCGUGAGAGGGGCACAGUGACUAAGAGAGAAACCAGGAAGUCCACUGCAGGUGCUAGGUGUAGGAGCCCUUUCUAAGGACCAGGACUGAAAGAAGCAACCAGUUUAGGAGGGGGACCUUCAGACGGGAGAAGAGAAGCCGCGGGCAGAGACUUGGAAUGUAAUAUAAAGGCAUUGGGAAUUAAAGCCUGAAUUGGAUAGUGUAAGGACCAGCUAAGAUUCAAGUUCACCAUUCACGAACUCAUUCCCUCUCAAAAAAUAUGGAACCUCGCUGAGACCUGCAUGCCGGAGAUGAGUGGGACACCAUGGUUCUUGGCCCAAACAGAACAGAGAAAACCAGUCUGAUCAGCCACAGUUUACGAAGGCUCUGAACAUCCAGUGGACAGAUCCAAAAUGUCAGCUUCUGGACUCACGAAAGGGCCAUUCAAGAAUGCAGCUUCGACAGAGAACCCCUGUCUCGGGGUGGGGGGAAUGCAACUUAGGCUAAGCUGGGCCUGAGUUGCCUGUAAUAUAUGAAUGUGUCGGGACAGCAUUUGAGACGGACACUCGC